GCUGAGCUGUGAUGACGAGGGAAUUAUAGUACCGAAGUUCCUGAUUCCACACUGCCAAGAAAAGCCUCUAGCGAGGCGGGAGGUGCCCGUACCGCAAACCGACACAGGUAGGCGAGGAGAGAAUCCUAAGGUGAUCGAGAGAACUCUCGUUAAGGAACUCGGCAAAAUGACCCCGUAACUUCGGGAGAAGGGGUGCUCUGGUAGGGUGUAUAGCCCGAGAGAGCCGCAGUGAAUAGGCCCAGGCGACUGUUUAGCAAAAACACAGGUCUCUGCGAAGCCGCAAGGCGAAGUAUAGGGGCUGACGCCUGCCCGGUGCUGGAAGGUUAAGAGGAGGGGUUAUCCUUUGGGAGAAGCUCUGAAUCGAAGCCCCAGUAAACGGCGGCCGUAACUAUAACGGUCCUAAGGUAGCGAAAUUCCUUGUCGGGUAAGUUCCGACCCGCACGAAAGGCGUAACGAUCUGGGCACUGUCUCAACGAGAGACUCGGUGAAAUUAUAGUACCUGUGAAGAUGCAGGUUACCCGCGACAGGACGGAAAGACCCCGUGGAGCUUUACUGUAGCCUGAUAUUGAAUUUUGGUACAGCUUGUACAGGAUAGGUAGGAGCCUGAGAAGCCGGAGCGCUAGCUUCGGUGGAGGCGUCGGUGGGAUACUACCCUGGCUGUAUUGAAAUUCUAACCCGCGGCCCUGAUCGGGCCGGGAGACAGUGUCAGGUGGGCAGUUUGACUGGGGCGGUCGCCUCCUAAAAUGUAACGGAGGCGCCCAAAGGUUCCCUCAGAAUGGUUGGAAAUCAUUCGUAGAGUGUAAAGGCACAAGGGAGCUUGACUGCGAGACCUACAAGUCGAGCAGGGACGAAAGUCGGGCUUAGUGAUCCGGUGGUUCCGCAUGGAAGGGCCAUCGCUCAACGGAUAAAAGCUACCCCGGGGAUAACAGGCUUAUCUCCCCCAAGAGUCCACAUCGACGGGGAGGUUUGGCACCUCGAUGUCGGCUCAUCGCAUCCUGGGGCUGUAGUCGGUCCCAAGGGUUGGGCUGUUCGCCCAUUAAAGCGGUACGCGAGCUGGGUUCAGAACGUCGUGAGACAGUUCGGUCCCUAUCCGUCGUGGGCGUAGGAAAUUUGAGAGGAGCUGUCCUUAGUACGAGAGGACCGGGAUGGACACACCGCUGGUGUACCAGUUGUCUUGCCAAAGGCAUCGCUGGGUAGCUAUGUGUGGACGGGAUAAGUGCUGAAAGCAUCUAAGCAUGAAGCCCCCCUCAAGAUGAGAUUUCCCAUAGCGCAAGCUAGUAAGAUCCCUGAAAGAUGAUCAGGUUGAUAGGUCAGAGGUGGAAGCGUGGCGACAUGUGUAGCUGACUGAUACUAAUCGAUCGAGGACUUAACCAAA
rnacentral:rRNA from 1 species